GAUGAACGCUGGCGGCGUGCCUAAUACAUGCAAGUCGAGCGAAUGGAUUAAGAGCUUGCUCUUAUGAAGUUAGCGGCGGACGGGUGAGUAACACGUGGGUAACCUGCCCAUAAGACUGGGAUAACUCCGGGAAACCGGGGCUAAUACCGGAUAACAUUUUGAACCGCAUGGCUCGAAAUUGAAAGGCGGCUUCGGCUGUCACUUAUGGAAGGACCCGCGUUGCAUUAGCUAGUUGGUGGGGUAACGGCUCACCAAGGCAACGAUGCGUAGCCGACCUGAGAGGGUGAUCGGCCACACUGGGACUGAGACACGGCCCAGACUCCUACGGGAGGCAGCAGUAGGGAAUCUUCCGCAAUGGACGAAAGUCUGACGGAGCAACGCCGCGUGAGUGAUGAAGGCUUUCGGGUCGUAAAACUCUGUUGUUAGGGAAGAACAAGUGCUAGUUGAAUAAGCUGACACCUUGACGGUACCUAACCAGAAAGCCACGGCUAACUACGUGCCAGCCGCCGCGGUAA
rnacentral:rRNA from 1 species